rnacentral:rRNA from 1 species
CCUACGGGUGACAGCAGUGGGGAAUAUUGCACAAUGGGGGAAACCCUGAUGCAGCGACGCCGCGUGAGUGAAGAAGUAUUUCGGUAUGUAAAGCUCUAUCAGCAGGGAAGAAAAUGACGGUACCUGAUUAAGAAGCCCCGGCUAACUACGUGCCAGCAGCCGCGGUAAUACGUAGGGGGCAAGCGUUAUCCGGAUUUACCGGGUGUAAAGGGAGCGUAGACGGCAGGGCAAGUCUGAAGUGAAAUGCCGGGGGUUAACCCCGGAAGUGCUUUGGAAACUGUGCAGCUAGAGUGAAGGAGAGGUAAGUGGAAUUCCUAGUGUAGCGGUGAAAUGCGUAGAUAUUAGGAGGAACACCAGUGGCGAAGGCGGCUUACUGGACUGUAACUGACGUUGAGGCUCGAAAGCGUGGGGAGCAAACAGGAUUAGAUACCCGUGUAGUC